UGGGGCAUAGCCAAGCGGUAAGGCACUAGACUUUGACUCUACCAUUCCCUGGUUCGAUCCCAGGUGCCCCAGCCA
rnacentral:tRNA from 1 species